GGACUGGUUAGCUCAGUCAGUUGAGCAUGGCGCUAACAACGCUGAGGUCGCGGGUUCAAUUCCCUUUCGGUCCC
rfam:Apaloderma vittatum contig58404, whole genome shotgun sequence.